AUUGAACGCUGGCGGCAUGCCUUACACAUGCAAGUCGAACGGCAGCACGGGAGCAAUCCUGGUGGCGAGUGGCGAACGGGUGAGUAAUAUAUCGGAACGUGCCCAGUCGUGGGGAUAACGUAGCGAAAGCUACGCUAAUACCGCAUACGAUCUAUGGAUGAAAGCGGGGGAUCGCAAGACCUCGCGCGAUUGGAGCGGCCGAUAUCAGAUUAGGUAGUUGGUGAGGUAAAGGCUCACCAAGCCGACGAUCUGUAGCUGGUCUGAGAGGACGACCAGCCACACUGGGACUGAGACACGGCCCAGACUCCUACGGGAGGCAGCA
rnacentral:rRNA from 1 species